UACAGAGGGUGCGAGCGUUAAUCGGAAUUACUGGGCGUAAAGCGUGCGUAGACGGUUAUUUAAGUCGGGUGUGAAAGCCCCGGGCUCAACCUGGGAAUUGCAUUCGAGACUGAAUAGCUAGGGUACGGUAGAGGGGAGUGGAAUUUCCGGUGUAGCGGUGAAAUGCGCAGAUAUCAGGAAGAACACCCGUGGCGAAGGCGGUUCUCUGGGACGGUACUGACGCUGAGACGCGAAAGCGUGGGGAGCGAACAGG
rnacentral:rRNA from 1 species